UACGUAGGGUGCAAGCGUUAAUCGGAAUUACUGGGCGUAAAGCGUGCGCAGGCGGUUUUGUAAGUCAGAUGUGAAAUCCCCGGGCUUAACCUGGGAACUGCGUUUGAAACUACAAGGCUAGAGUGUGGCAGAGGGGGUGGAAUUCCGACGUGUAGCAGUGAAAUGCGUAGAGAUGUGGAGGAACACCGGAUGGCGAAGGCAGCCCCCUGGGUUAACACUGACGCUCAGGCGACGAAAGCGUGGGGAGCAAACAGGG
rnacentral:rRNA from 1 species